rnacentral:rRNA from 1 species
UCUUAGCUUGCUAAGGCCGAUGGCGACCGGCGCACGGGUGAGUAACACGUAUCCCCGUUUAGGGCUACUCUUGGACAGCCUUCUGAAAGGAAGAUUCCUUCAAGAUGGCAUCAUGAGUCCGCAUGUUCACAUGAUUAAAGGUAUUCCGGUAGACGAUGGGGAUGCGUUCCAUUAGAUAGUAGGCGGGGUAACGGCCCACCUAGUCUUCGAUGGAUAGGGGUUCUGAGAGGAAGGUCCCCCACAUUAGAACUGAGACACGGUCCAAACUCCUACGGGAGGCAGCAGUGAGGAAUAUUGGUCAAUGGGCGAGAGCCUGAACCAGCCAAGUAGCGUGAAGGAUGACUGCCCUAUGGGUUGUAAACUUCUUUUAUAAAGGAAUAAAGUCGGGUAUGUAUACCCGUUUGCAUGUACUUUAUGAAUAAGGAUCGGCUAACUCCGUGCCAGCAGCCGCGGUAAUACGGAGGAUCCGAGCGUUAUCCGGAUUUAUUGGGUUUAAAGGGAGCGUAGAUGGAUGGUUAAGUCAGUUGUGAAAGUUUGCGGCUCAACCGUAAAAUUGCAGUUGAUACUGGAUAUCUUGAGUGCAGUUGAGGCAGGCGGAAUUCGUGGUGUAGCGGUGAAAUGCUUAGAUAUCACGAAGAACUCCGAUUG